CCUACGGGAGGCAGCAGUGAGGAAUAUUGGUCAAUGGACGAGAGUCUGAACCAGCCAAGUAGCGUGAAGGAUGACUGCCCUAUGGUUUGUAAACUUCUUUUAUAUGGGAAUAAAACGUUCCACGUGUGGGAUUUUGUAUGUACCAUAUGAAUAAGGAUCGGCUAACUCCGUGCCAGCAGCCGCGGUAAUACGGAGGAUCCGAGCGUUAUCCGGAUUUAUUGGGUUUAAAGGGAGCGUAGGUGGAUUGUUAAGUCAGUUGUGAAAGUUUGCGGCUCAACCGUAAAAUUGCAGUUGAAACUGGCAGUCUUGAGUACAGUAGAGGUGGGCGGAAUUCGUGGUGUAGCGGUGAAAUGCUUAGAUAUCACGAAGAACUCCGAUUGCGAAGGCAGUUCACUGGACUGCAACUGACACUGAGGCUCGAAAGUGUGGGUAUCAAACAGGAUUAGAUACCCUAGUAGUC
rnacentral:rRNA from 1 species